UGGUGGAGUGAUUUGUCUGGUUAAUUCCGUUAACGAACGAGACCUCGGCCUGCUAAAUAGUUCGACGAUACUACGGUAUCGUACGCAACUUCUUAGAGGGACAAUCGGUGUUUAGCCGAUGGAAGUCCGAGGCAAUAACA
rnacentral:rRNA from 1 species